rnacentral:rRNA from 1 species
CCGCAAUGUCAAUGCCUAUGGGCAGAAGGAAGAGGGGCCAAGCCACUGGCAAGAGAGGAAGGAAGCCAAGAGGAAGAUGUAUCUGAUGAGCACGGAGCAGCCUGUGAGGCUAGGUGUGAGGCCAAAUGCCGUACCAACUUCUUCCUCUGGUCGCCAAUGUCAGAAGUGCUUCCAGCCCGGGCACUGGACGUAUGA